UACGUAGGGUCCGAGCGUUGUCCGGAGUUACUGGGCGUAAAGGGCGCGCAGGUGGCGGUGUUGGCCCGGCGUGAAAGCCCCCGGCUCAACUGGGGAGGGUCACGCGAUACUGAUCGACUCGAAGGCAGGAGAGGGUAGUGGAAUUCCCGGUGUAGUGGUGAAAUGCGUAGAUAUCGGGAGGAACACCAGUGGCGAAGGCGACUACCUGGCCUGUUCUUGACGCUGAGGCGCGAAAGCUAGGGGAGCAAACGGG
rnacentral:rRNA from 1 species